GUAUAGAUAGCUCAGUGGUAGAGCAUGUGCUUAGCAUGCAUGAGGUCCUAGGUUCAAUCCCCAGUACU
rnacentral:tRNA from 1 species